rnacentral:rRNA from 1 species
UGGGGAAUAUUGCGCAAUGGGGGAAACCCUGACGCAGCAACGCCGCGUGAGUGAUGAAGGUCUUCGGAUCGUAAAGCUCUGUCGGCAGGAAAGAAGGGCCGGUUGGCUAAUAUCCAACUUGUCUGACGGUACCUGCAAAGGAAGCACCGGCUAACUCUGUGCCAGCAGCCGCGGUAAUACAGAGGGUGCAAGCGUUGUUCGGAAUCAUUGGGCGUAAAGGGCGCGUAGGCGGUCUCGUAAGUCGAAUGUGAAAGCCCAGGGCUCAACCUUGGAAGUGCAUCCGAAACUGCGAGACUCGAAUCUCGGAGAGGGUGGUGGAAUUCCCAGUGUAGAGGUGAAAUUCGUAGAUAUUGGGAGGAACACCGGUGGCGAAGGCGACCACCUGGACGAAGAUUGACGCUGAGGCGCGAAAGCGUGGGGAGCAAACAG